rfam:Gossypium hirsutum cultivar TM-1 chromosome 9, whole genome shotgun sequence
UAUUGAAAGUUUCAUUCAUUUCUAUUAUUAAAAACUGGCGUGGCUGACAAAAUAACUAGACAUACCUCAUUCUGAUGAAUAAGGAUCAGAUUUUAACAGUAGAAAUGGAUGGAAUUUUUAACA